rnacentral:rRNA from 1 species
AGAGUUUGAUCCUGGCUCAGAACGAACGCUGGCGGCAGGCUUAACACAUGCAAGUCGAACGCACCGCAAGGUGAGUGGCAGACGGGUGAGUAACGCGUGGGAACGUGCCCUUCAGUUCGGGAUAACCCAGGGAAACUUGGGCUAAUACCGGAUACGUGCGAGAGCAGAAAGAUUGAUCGCUGAAGGAUCGGCCCGCGUCUGAUUAGCUAGUUGGUAGGGUAAUGGCCUACCAAGGCGACGAUCAGUAGCUGGUCUGAGAGGAUGAUCAGCCACAUUGGGACUGAGACACGGCCCAAACUCCUACGGGAGGCAGCAGUGGGGAAUAUUGGACAAUGGGCGCAAGCCUGAUCCAGCCAUGCCGCGUGAGUGAUGAAGGCCUUAGGGUUGUAAAGCUCUUUCGUCCGGGACGAUAAUGACGGUACCGGAAGAAGAAGCCCCGGCUAACUUCGUGCCAGCAGCCGCGGUAAUACGAAGGGGGCUAGCGUUGUUCGGAAUCACUGGGCGUAAAGGGCGCGUAGGCGGCUUGAUAAGUCGGGGGUGAAAGCCUGUGGCUCAACCACAGAAUUGCCUUCGAUACUGUCUGGCUUGAGACCGGAAGAGGUAAGUGGAACUGCGAGUGUAGAGGUGAAAUUCGUAGAUAUUCGCAAGAACACCAGUGGCGAAGGCGGCUUACUGGUCCGGUUCUGACGCUGAGGCGCGAAAGCGUGGGGAGCAAACAGGAUUAGAUACCCUAGUAGUCC